rnacentral:rRNA from 1 species
UUGGCAUAUCAAUAAGCGGAGGAAAAGAAACUAACAAGGAUUCCCCUAGUAGCGGCGAGCGAAGCGGGAAGAGCUCAAAUUUAUAAUCUGGCACCUUCGGUGUCCGAGUUGUAAUCUCUAGAAGUGUUUUCCGCGUUGGACCGCACACAAGUCUGUUGGAAUACAGCGGCAUAGUGGUGAAACCCCCGUAUAUGGUGCGGACGCCCAGCGCUUUGUGAUACACUUUCAAUGAGUCGAGUUGUUUGGGAAUGCAGCUCAAAUUGGGUGGUAAAUUCCAUCUAAAGCUAAAUAUUGGCGAGAGACCGAUAGCGAACAAGUACCGUGAGGGAAAGAUGAAAAGCACUUUGGAAAGAGAGUUAACAGUACGUGAAAUUGUUGGAAGGGAAACGCUUGAAGUCAGACUUGCUUGCCGGAGCUUGCUUCGGUUUGCAGGCCAGCAUCAGUUUUCCGGGGUGGAUAAUGACGGUUUGAAGGUAGCAGUCUCGGCUGUGUUAUAGCUUUCCGUUGGAUACAUCCUGGGGGACUGAGGAACGCAGCGUGCUUUUUGCGAAAGACUCGUCUU